rnacentral:rRNA from 1 species
UACAGAGGUCUCAAGCGUUGUUCGGAUUCAUUGGGCGUAAAGGGUGCGUAGGCGGCGCGGUAAGUCUGGUGUGAAAUCUUGGAGCUUAACUCCGAAACUGCAUUCGAUACUGCCGUGCUUGAGGACUGGAGAGGAGACUGGAAUUUACGGUGUAGCGGUGAAAUGCGUAGAUAUCGUAAGGAAGACCAGUGGCGAAGGCGGGUCUCUGGACAGUUCCUGACGCUGAAGCACGAAGGCCAGGGGAGCAAACGGG